AUUGAACGCUGGCGGCAGGCCUAACACAUGCAAGUCGAACGAGUGGCGGACGGGUGAGUAAUGUCCGGGAAACUGCCUGCUGGAGGGGGAUAACUCCUGGAAACGUUAGCUAAUACCGCAUACCAUCAGAUGUGCCCAGAUGUGAUUAGAUAGUAGGUGGGGUAAUGGCUCACCUAGGCGGAGAUCCCUAGCUGGUCUGAGAGGUUGUCAAGCAACACUGUAACUGAGACACGGUCCAGACUCCUACGGUAGGCAGCAGUAGUGAAUAUUGCACAAUGGGCGCAAGCCGUAUGCAGCCAUGCCGUGUAUGUGAAGAGUGCCUUCGGGUGGGAAAGCACUGUCAGCGAGGAGGCGUUACUCGCAGAAGAAGCACCGGCUAACUCCGAGCCAGCAGCCGCGGUAAUUC
rnacentral:rRNA from 1 species